GUGUGCACGCGCGCGCCUCCUGUGUGCGUGCCCGGACCCGUCGCUGCUUCAGAGAGCAGGCGCACAGCCUGGCCUCCCUUUGCCCUCGACACACCAAGCCAGCAAGACGCGGAGAGACACACACGCAGAGAAGCGCGGAGCGACCACCACCACCACAACUCAUCUGCACAGACCUAACCACACAUCGAGAGCCAAGCAUGAAGUGGGACUGGGGUGUUCUGCGGCGGCAGACGCUGGAGUUGAUGUACGGUGCCACCGCCGAGCAGCGGCACCAUCAGUCGCAGCACCGAGAUCAGAAGCAGGCGUACGAGGCCUUCAUGGCGAUGUCCGCCAGCGCCGCGGGUGAACCGCAUUGCAGUGGGGGCAGCGCGGCUCCUAGCGCUUUCCCGCCUGCCGCUGGGAGGCGGCACCGCGACCACGGAUACGCCGCUGUCCGAAAACACUUCCAGCGCAUCCCAGAUAUGUUUCUCGACAUAGAGUUUUACUUUGCCAUCACUGGCGUGGGCCUCUUCGACCAUCUCGUCGGGCUGCUGCUGCUGCCGCUGAAGGUGCUCACACAGUGGCGACGGUGCGAACUACGGGACAUUAUUACACUGCUUGUUCUCACCAUGACACUGGGUAGCUACUGGGUUGCGGGUCUGGCGACAACGCAGCUGUACUCCUACCUCUACCACGCCGUACGACGCACGUCGUUCAUCAAGGUCGUCAUGAUCUUCAGCAUCCUCGAUGUGGCGGACAAGAUCCUCUCAUCCCUCUCGCAGGACUCGCUCGAGGUGCUCUACGCCGCCGUCGAAGAUGAGUACGCCUACCGCUGCUCUCGCCGCCGCCAGACCAAGCCAGCUGCGGCAGACACACCGACGAAGAGGGCUGCUUUUGGGAGUGCGUGUGCAGGUCGCGACGACGCCGGAUCCGCCAGCGCCCGACAGCACACGCCUCCAUCGCGGUGGCUCCUCGCCGGCAGCGCGAUCGCCGCCUGCAUCAGCACCUCCUGCCACUCCCUCUCUCUCCUGCUGCACGUCGUCACGUUGAACGUCACGAUAAACGCGGAGGGAAACUCGUUGCUGGCGCUGCUGGUCGGCAACAACCUCACGGAGCUGAAGAGCGUCGUGCUCAAGAAGAGCACGCCGGAGUCGCUGCACAGCGUGUGCGCCCUCGACGCGCUGGAGCGCAUGCAGUACGUCGUCUUCUUCUUUGUUAUGCUGCUGCACCACAUGCACGAGCGCUUCACAGACUUCGCCGUCGCAGACGUCUUCGUCAUCCUCUGCGUCGAGGUGGCCAUCGACUUUGUUAAGCAUCUCUUCGUCGUUCGCUUCAACGGCAUUCCGCCUUCGAUGUUCCGGGCCUACUCGCAGCUGGCGUUGCUAGACUUGAGCUGCGAGGCGGUGCUGUGGCGGCUGCCGUCGCUGGAGGUAGUGGCGAGCGGGCCCGGCAGCGGCGUCGCAACGCGCAUGGAAGAAGCGGCCGAGCUGCUCACGCCUGCUUUCGGCUUUGCCCCCAAGAACGUUAAGCGGAAUGGCUUCGACGCCAUCGCGUAUGCGGCGCUGCUGCUGUGGAGCUGCGAGCGAGUGGCGGGGUACCUCCUGUGGCAAGCGCCUUUGGUGUGCGUCUUGCUCGUGCUGAUCCUCGCGCUUCUGAAGCUCAUGUUGUCCAGUGUCGUCCACGGCGUGUGCGCGCGCUUCACUCUUCGGACGUUAGUGGUAUCCCCACCGUCGUGGCCGCCGCUGCCACAGCCAAGCGCUGUCUCUGCGCCUCUCGACGGCGGCAGCUGCAGUGAAAGCGGCGCCAGCCAGCGAAGGAGCGCGUCUCUGACGAGCUCGCUGGUCUGCACGUGGGGUGUUCGGAUGGGUGUCUCACCGAUCAGCACGCCGCGCGCGACGCCCGUCGGCGGCAGCGGCCACGCACACAUCAGUGCGGCAACGUCUUCCUCUGUGAAGAGCAAGAGUAGCCCAGCAGCAGUGCGCACGUUGGUGCGGCUGACGCCGCUUCUACUGGCUCUGCUGAAGGCAGAUCGCUUCGACCUACAGGCUGGCAAGGCGAAGCGCACCUACUGACGUCAUAUCCUCAUCUGUCGUUUUGUAGGUGGGUGGCCGUGUGUGCCUCGCGCGCGCAGGCUGGCAUAGCGCGCCCCUCCACUCCUCCUCCUUCUCUGCUGCGCACCUAGCACCUCUUGGCCCUUGGCCAGCGGAGCUCUUGUGCGUGUGUGUGCAGCUGCAGCGGCGCAGAGAGCCCACGUGCGUACAGGCCCAUGUACUUCUGUGAGCGCACCGCAUGGCAUCUGACCCACGCGUACGUGCACCACUCGCGCAGCCCCUACCCCCUCCUUCGGCUUCGACGCCCCUCUCUCCGCACUGCUCCCCUGUCUCAGCCGCUGUGCAUCUGUCGCCGUUCACGCUCUGUCCUUCCGUGGGUGUGUCACCGACGCGAUGUCAUAGCACGCACGUGCACGUGCACGACGCAGGCGCCGUUCUCGUCGAACGAAAUCGUGGGGCCGCUCGCCAGCAGCGCGUGUCAGUCGAGUCUCAGCAACCGCGGCAGCCACCGCGCCACCGGCAACGCACGGUGAGAGGAAGACACCAGGCGCCGUCCCGGUGGCGGUGGAGACGCGCUGGUGGGCAUGUCCUUGAAACCGUGGCACUACGUGCCGCUGCCUCUCUCACAGGUGGUGCUUCUCCCUGCGACACAAGCAGCGCAUGGCGGAUAAGGUGCAACAGCAAUGCUGGUUUCCGCCCUUCUGUGUGACGAUGAUCGCGGUGGUGCUUCUCGGGUCCAGGUCCGAGAAGCACCCGCUUUUGCGCCGAGCGUGUGCGUCGUCCAUCACGUGAAUGGUGCGCAGCCCGUUCCCCUCUCGGAGAUGCGGGGCGUACUUUUCCUGAGCGCCUUCCGUAUCGACGCGGAGGCUGCCACCCCGCGAAGUGCGACGGUCUCCGCCAGUACGCCUGUGAAGGGCAACAGCGCCCGCUGCCCGUGGGCGAGCAGCUGGUAGAACAGCAGUGUCAACGCGUGGGCGCCGGUCCUGUCCAACAAGAGAGCAACCCCCGCUGAGCAUCCCCAGCCGCAUCUGUGGGCACGCAAACCCAGCCGCCGCACCCGCAAUGGUGUUUGACUACGACGCCGACACAGGAAGCUACACCGUCUUCUGGCCCCUAGCAGCCUCCUGCACGGCGGUGAGCUCCGUGCUGGGCGUAAUGAAGACGCCGAAGAGACGCGUGGCGUACAAGGGGUCGGCGGUGACGCAGGAACUGUGGAUUGCAGUGCACCGAAACGGACCUCACCCGACACGGCGAGAACGCCUCAGCGGCGGCGGCGGCGAGUACAGCACGUCGUGCGCCGCAUCAAGACGCGUCGCUAAACCGUCGCAGAGGUGCAGCCCCCCACUGCCGCCGCCGGGGCGGUGGUGCAAACGCACAGGACCGGACACACACAACGGGCGCUGGUGCUGGCGGCGUACCUGGCCCACGCCACUGACUGCGGCUACGUGAAGGACGUGCCGCGAGACAACCCCAUCGAGGAGUAUGCGGCUCGCGUUGGUGCGCGGCUGGAAGCGCUGCCGAACAGCAUCGUCAAGUGCAUCGAGGGGCAAUCGGUGUCGAGAGUUCGGAGGGGGAGCAGGCUGCUGUCCAAUGUUAAUAACUCUCCCUGUGUCUGUAUAUGCGUCGCUGCGCACGAGCAGCUGAAUCUCUCUGUUAGUCUCUUUCUAUUCUGUGAGCUGUCGAGGCUCGCUUGCCCAU
rnacentral:misc_RNA from 1 species